GGUAACCUACCCUGUACACACGGAUAACAUACCGAAAGGUAUGCUAAUACGGGAUAAUAUAUUUGAGAGGCAUCUCUUAAAUAUCAAAGGUGAGCCAGUACAGGAUGGACCCGCGUCUGAUUAGCUAGUUGGUAAGGUAACGGCUUACCAAGGCAACGAUCAGUAGCCGACCUGAGAGGGUGAUCGGCCACAUUGGAACUGAGACACGGUCCAAACUCCUACGGGAGGCAGCAGUGGGGAAUAUUGCACAAUGGGCGAAAGCCUGAUGCAGCAACGCCGCGUGAGUGAUGAAGGCCUUCGGGUCGUAAAACUCUGUCCUCAAGGAAGAUAAUGACGGUACUUGAGGAGGAAGCCCCGGCUAACUACGUGCCAGCAGCCGCGGUAAUACGUAGGGGGCUAGCGUUAUCCGGAUUUACUGGGCGUAAAGGGUGCGUAGGCGGUCUUUCAAGUCAGGAGUGAAAGGCUACGGCUCAACCGUAGUAAGCUCUUGAAACUGGGAGACUUGAGUGCAGGAGAGGAGAGUGGAAUUCCUAGUGUAGCGGUGAAAUGCGUAGAUAUUAGGAGGAACACCAGUUGCGAAGGCGGCUCUCUGGACUGUAACUGACGCUGAGGCACGAAAGCGUGGGGAGCAAACAGGGUUAGAUACCCUGGUAGUCCACGCUGUAAAC
rnacentral:rRNA from 1 species